GACGAACGCUGGCGGCGUGCUUAACACAUGCAAGUCGAGCGGAAAGGCCCUUCGGGGUACUCGAGCGGCGAACGGGUGAGUAACACGUGAGUAACCUGCCCCAGACUUUGGGAUAACCCUCGGAAACGGGGGCUAAUACCGGAUACGACACAGCUUCGCCUUGGGUCUGUGUGGAAAGUUUUUCGGUUUGGGAUGGGCUCGCGGCCUAUCAGCUUGUUGGUGGGGUGAUGGCCUACCAAGGCGACGACGGGUAACCGGCCUGAGCGGGCGACCGGCCACACUGGGACUGAGAGACGGCCCAGAGUCCUACGGGAGGCAGCAGUGGGGAAUAUUGCACAAUGGGCGGAAGCCUGAUGCAGCGACGCCGCGUGAGGGAUGACGGCCUUCGGGUUGUAAACCUCUUCCAGCAGGGACGAAGCGUAAGUGACGGUACCUGCAGAAGAAGCGCCGGCCAACUACGUG
rnacentral:rRNA from 1 species